rnacentral:rRNA from 1 species
GUCCACGCCCUAAACGAUGCCUGCUAGCUAUUUCGAGUAUCGACCCUCGGAGUGGCGUAGCUAACGCGUUAAGCAGGCCGCCUGGGAAGUACGGCCGCAAGGCUAAAACUCAAAGGAAUAGACGGGGACUCGCACAAGCGGUGGAACAUGAGGUUUAAUUCGACAGUAAACGAGGAACCUUACCAGGGUUUGAAAUGUUUGCGGAAGUUCGGCUGAAAGGCUGGGCGUCUCACAAGGACCGCAAGCACAGGUGCUGCAUGGUUGUCGU